rnacentral:snoRNA from 1 species
AAGUUAGCGAUGAUUAUAAAAGUAAUUCCUCGUUUUGACUUACUUAAUUUGGACAUGACAAACUUCUUAUUACAUAAAAUCCGACCUCC